AUGACGAUGCUCCGAUCUGCCAUUGGAACUGCCCUCCGGCGGGCGGCGCCGGCCGCUCGUUUCUUUAGCAGUGUCGCCCGUGGCAGCCCUGGAUGCAGCGGCGCAACCAGUGCGCUCCGGCGGACGGCGCCGGCCGCUCGUUUCUUUAGCAGUGUCGCCCGUGGCAGCCCUGGAUGCAGCAGCGCAACCAGUGCGCUCCGGCGGACGGCGCCGGCCGCUCGUUUCUUCAGCAGCGUCGCCCGCGGCAGCCCUGGAUGCAGCCACGCAACCAGUGCGCUCCGGUGGCCGGCGCUGACUUAUAGUCUCUUCGGCAACGGAGGAGGCGGCAGCUCUGGACUCAGGAGGAUGAUGUGCUCGUAUGGCAAUGGUGGACAGGGAUUCUGGAAUCAAGCCUUGAGCUGGGAAAGAUCUGAUAUUUUGUUUUUCGGUAUCACUGGCGUCGUGAUGUAUGUGGUUCAAAGGAAAGUAAGAGCCUUGCAAGAAGAAAAAUGGCAACGUCAGAUAAAGGAUAUUGAGGUGCGGUCAUACAUGAUGGAUAAGGAGAAGGAAGAAACAAUCAAUAUCCCUUUUCAUUGA
rnacentral:rRNA from 1 species